AACGAACGCUGGCGGCAGGCUUAACACAUGCAAGUCGAACGCGUGUAGCAAUACACGAGUGGCGCACGGGUGAGUAACGCGUGGAUAUCUGCCUUUUGGUUCGGAAUAACCCCGGGAAACUGGGGCUAAUACCGGAUGGUUCCUUCGGGAUAAAGAUUUAUCGCCAAAAGAUGAGUCCGCGUACGAUUAGCUAGUUGGUGAGGUAAUGGCUCACCAAGGCGACGAUCGUUAGCUGGUCUGAGAGGACGAUCAGCCAACCUGGGACUGAGACACGGCCCAGACUCCUACGGGAGGAAGCGGUGGGGAAUAUUGGACAAUGGGGGCAACCCUGAUCCAGCCAUGCCGCGUGAGUGAUGAAGGCCUUCGGGUUGUAAAGCUCUUUUGGCGGGGACGAUGAUGACGGUACCCGCAGAAUAAGCCCCGGCUAACUUCGUGCCAGCCGCCGCCGUAAAAC
rnacentral:rRNA from 1 species